rnacentral:rRNA from 1 species
GACGAACGCUGGCGGCGUGCUUAACACAUGCAAGUCGAACGGAAAGGCCCUGCUUUUGUGGGGUGCUCGAGUGGCGAACGGGUGAGUAACACGUGAGUAACCUGCCCUUGACUUUGGGAUAACUUCAGGAAACUGGGGCUAAUACCGGAUAGGAGCUCCUGCUGCAUGGUGGGGGUUGGAAAGUUUCGGUGGUUGGGGAUGGACUCGCGGCUUAUCAGCUUGUUGGUGGGGUAGUGAAUUACCAAGGCUUUGACGGGUAGCCGGCCUGGGAGGGUGACCGGCGACAUUGGGACUGAGAUACGGCCCAGACUCCUACGGGAGGCAGCAGUGGGGAAUAUUGCACAAUGGGCGGAAGCCUGAUGCAGCAACGCCGCGUGCGGGAUGACGGCCUUCGAGUUGUAAACCUCUUUCGCCUGUGACGAAGCGUGAGUGACGGUAAUGGGUAAAGAAGCACCGGCUAACUACGUG